GGGACAGUAUGCUCAAUGGUAGAGCACGUGCUUAGCAUGCACGAGAUUCUGGGUUCAAUCCCCAGCACCUCCA
rnacentral:tRNA from 1 species